rnacentral:tRNA from 1 species
UGGGGUAUAGCCAAGCGGUAAGGCAACGGAUUCUGAUUCCGUCAUUCGAAGGUUCGAAUCCUUCUACCCUAGCCA